GUCUUGAGUUGGUUAAAUGCCUGAUCACACUCUGGGGCCCAGAUGACCUGUCGAGGAAUGUUCUUGCGCGUCAAGUCAGUCAAGGGUUUGGCCAGGGCACUAUAAUUGGGUACGAACUUUCUAUAGUACCCUGCAGUACCCAGGAAAGCUAGCACUUGGGUUUUGGUCCUAGGGGUGGGCCACUUAGCAACGGCUUCAAUCUUGGCUGGUUCGAGUUUUUGUUGCCCGCUCCCCACCCGGUGGUCCAAGUACUGCACCUCUGCCAUCCCUAUAUGACACUUGCUAG